UUUUCCAGGUUUAAACACACACACACGCACGUUCGUUCUUUAUAAGCCGCACUUCAUCUCCAUUAUUCGACCCAACCUCAAAUUCCCCAAAUCACAACCUAGCCUUUUCAACCAUCAGCUACAUUAGAUCUACAGAUUUCAAAGCCAGAUGAAGAAUAUGGAUUACAUUCUCACGACGGUCGUCUGAGAAUCACACCUUUUCGUAGGGUUUGAUUAAUUGAUGUUGUUGGAUUCACAUGUUUAUUUUUAAUGUUGUUAAGCAUUAGUUGUUAGGUAAUUGACAGUAACUUGGGAGUGUGGAUCUGGCAAUGUUAUGAGGGGGCGGGUGCUGUGCGGUCGGGUACAUUGGUGCACCUUAGCGCCACUGACAUGUCAUGGUUGCGGAGCUACGGUGGAUUCGUCAUAAGGCUUCUGCCCCAAGAGUCAAGAUCUUGAAAUGUGCUGAAAAAAUCGUGUAUUGAUAAUUAGAAUUAGUGUUAAAAAGUAUACUGAUGAUUUGUGAACAGAUUAAUUGUGUUAAUACGUUGCAUACAUUUGUGAAAUGUGUUUUCUAUUCUGUUUACAUUGGAACAAUUUACAUGUUAUGUAGUUUAUUAUUUGUUC